GUUGUAUGGUUAAGUGACUAAGCGUACACGGUGGAUGCCUGGGCAGUCAGAGGCGAUGAAGGACGUACUAACUUGCGAUAAGCGCAGAUAAGGCAGUAAGAGCCGUUUGAGUCUGCGAUUUCCGAAUGGGGAAACCCAACUGCAUAAGCAGUUACUGUUAACUGAAUACAUAGGUUAACAGAGCAAACCGGGGGAACUGAAACAUCUAAGUACCCCGAGGAGAAGAAAUCAACCGAGAUUCCGGUAGUAGCGGCGAGCGAACCUGGAUUAGCCCUUAAGCACUCGGUGAAGUAGGUGAACAAGCUGGAAAGCUUGGCGAUACAGGGUGAUAGCCCCGUAACCGACGCUUCAUCGAGCGUGAAAUCGAGUAGGGCGGGACACGUGAUAUCCUGUCUGAAUAUGGGGGGACCAUCCUCCAAGGCUAAAUACUCCUGACUGACCGAUAGUGAACCAGUACCGUGAGGGAAAGGCGAAAAGAACCCCUGUGAGGGGAGUGAAAUAGAACCUGAAACCGUGUACGUACAAGCAGUAGGAGCACCUUCGUGGUGUGACUGCGUACCUUUUGUAUAAUGGGUCAGCGACUUAUAUUCAGUGGCAAGGUUAACCGUAUAGGGGAGCCGUAGCGAAAGCGAGUCUUAACUGGGCGCUCAGUCUCUGGAUAUAGACCCGAAACCGGGUGAUCUAGCCAUGGGCAGGUUGAAGGUUGAGUAACAUCAACUGGAGGACCGAACCGACUAAUGUUGAAAAAUUAGCGGAUGACUUGUGGCUAGGGGUGAAAGGCCAAUCAAACUCGGAGAUAGCUGGUUCUCCCCGAAAGCUAUUUAGGUAGCGCCUCGGACGAAUACUACUGGGGGUAGAGCACUGUUAAGGCUAGGGGGUCAUCCCGACUUACCAACCCUUUGCAAACUCCGAAUACCAGUAAGUACUAUCCGGGAGACACACGGCGGGUGCUAACGUCCGUCGUGGAGAGGGAAACAACCCAGACCGCCAGCUAAGGUCCCAAAGUAUUGCUAAGUGGGAAACGAUGUGGGAAGGCUCAGACAGCUAGGAUGUUGGCUUAGAAGCAGCCAUCAUUUAAAGAAAGCGUAAUAGCUCACUAGUCGAGUCGGCCUGCGCGGAAGAUGUAACGGGGCUAAGCAAUACACCGAAGCUGCGGCAAUGUCUUUUAGAUAUUGGGUAGGGGAGCGUUCUGUAAGCCGUUGAAGGUGAAUCGUAAGGUUUGCUGGAGGUAUCAGAAGUGCGAAUGCUGACAUGAGUAACGACAAAGGGGGUGAAAAACCUCCUCGCCGGAAGACCAAGGGUUCCUGUCCAACGUUAAUCGGGGCAGGGUGAGUCGACCCCUAAGGUGAGGCCGAAAGGCGUAAUCGAUGGGAAACGGGUUAAUAUUCCCGUACUUCUGACUAUUGCGAUGGGGGGACGGAGAAGGCUAGGUGGGCCAGGCGACGGUUGUCCUGGUUCAAGUGCGUAGGCUUGAGAGUUAGGUAAAUCCGGCUCUCUCUAAG
rnacentral:rRNA from 1 species